AUCCCGUGCUGCACUAGACCCCUGUUUUUUCACUACAGUAAAUAAUUCAGAAUAGCAAUAACGUGAAGUACCUUAGAUAGUAACCAGGUUAAAAGAAUAGCUAGGGAAAGUAAUUACAUGAAAUAUACGUAUCAAAGGAAGGAAAACUUUGAACAGAGUAACAGAUUGCACAGAGAAAUAAACACAGCGCCUCUGUCGGUUGGAUGUGGAACUGUUUGACAGGCGCGUUGCACUUGUACAUUGUUCGACAGCGCAUUGAAACAACAUUGAAACCGGUGUUCGUGACGCCUGUAGGCGACGUCGCGGGAGACGCUAUAAUCCUGAGGAAGCAACGACCAAGUGAGAUGGAUCCUGUGCAGCAACAGCAAUCGCAGAAAGAGCAGCAGAAGCAGCCAGUGUCUGAAUACCAGACCUGUUGGCAGGGCACACUUCAAUGGGUAGAAAAGAUAGAAGAUCCUACCAAUAUUAAUGAAAUACCAUGUCAAAUUUCAAUGCACCCAGAAGAUAAACAAGAUUGGAAUGCUGACACAUGGCCUCAGAAACUAAUCAUGCAGUUGGUGCCAAAACAACUGAUGGCAGUUAUUGAUGGAUUUGUCCUGUACAAUUCAAAUCCUCUGCACUUCCAUCCACAGAAUUGCAAAGCCCUUGAAUCUGUGGUCAAAAUUAUGCGUUAUGGUUUUGCUGGCUGUGUUUAUUUCAAGAGCGUAUCACCAGAGGCAGAAAGUGACUUGAAAUAUGUUAUCCUUUUGUACAUAUCAGACCAGCAUGAAUUCGUGGGAUUUAUCCCUAAGAAUCAGACAACAUUAUUAGACAAUCUCAGUCGUGCCCUAAAGCAAAAAAUGCCAAGCCUGAUAUUGGGAAGUCAGUCCCAGGAGUUGGUUCUUGAUAAACGGCAUACACAGCAACAACAACAGCAACAACAACAGCAACCACAGCAACCACAGCAACAACAACAGCAGCAGCCAGAGAAAGAACACCAGACCCUCUGGGAAGGACUUCUAGAGUGGAUAGACAGGACAAAAAGUCCUAACGAUGCUGAUCAAGUAAUAAGACAUAUAUCAUGUCGAAUUUCAAUAGAACCAAAGGAAGGUGCACCAGACUUGAAGGCUGACUCAUGGCCUCAGAAACUAACCGUGCAGUUGGUGCCAAAAGAAGUGCUUGGAGUUCUUGGUGGUAUUUUUCUGAAAAAUUCAAAUCGUCUGCACUUCCAUCCAGAGAACUGUGAAGCCCUUGAAUUAUUGACCGGGGCUUUGAGUUCUGGAUAUGUGGGCUAUGUCCAUUUCAAGAGAGUGACGUCGACGUCAGAGUGUGACUAUAAGGUUGUUGUCCUUAUUUACGGGCCAGUGAGGAAUGAAUAUGUUGGAUUUUUCCCUAAUGAUGAUCCAGCAUAUAUCGCAGCUGCCCAUAGUGCCAUAAGGGAAUCGAGGCCAAGCCGAGCAGCUUUGAUUCAGAUUCAGAAGACAGCGGAGUGGAAUGCCGUGCAGCUCUCCAAAGCCUUGGGCUCUUCUGGCCCGAUUCGCAACAUUCGAUGCAGCUGCCUGCUAGCUGGCUGCUCUAGCGUGCCUCACCCCCCCACAGUUCACCUCACUGGAAGACCUUGCUCUCAGACACCAGAGCAGGAUCAACAAAUACUACUUGGGGAACAGCAGCAGGAGCAGCAACAGCAGCAGGAGCAGCAACAGCAGCAGGAGCAGCAACAGCAGCAGGAGCAGCAACAGCAGCAGCAAGGUCCAGGAGGCACUAUUCAAGAUUGUCAGGCAGCAGGAGGUCCUGGUCCUCAACAGCCGCCAAUUGAUAACGUGGAAGUUGCUCAACAGGAAACCCUUCUUGAGAGCCAGCUGCGUUGCGAGGAAAUGAAAACUGAGCUGGAGGAAGAAAUGCAAGAAAAGUCCCAACUUGAGGAACUCGAGAAAAAUUGCACCAAAUGACUGGAAAACUCCUUGAACACCCCCCAAUUAUGGAACAUAUAAUUUACUUUAUGAAAAUAGAUUCAAAUAUGUAUUUAAGAAAUAACUUGUGCAAGAAGACACUUGCCAUGGUACGGGUACACUACUAGUCUGACAAUCCUAGUCAGAAUGUCGCCAUGUACCUGAGGGCGAGGUUGGCUGGCUGUUGACCGUCUGGUAGAGUGCACAGGGGAGAGGCUGCGUGCAUCCGUGAGCGGCGGCCUCUGCUGAUCCUAGUGUCUUCGAAUUUCCAUGGUGCACCUUACAACUGUGCGCUCGGAUCUCAGUUGUGGACUCUGUGUGGUUUCCUACAGUGAUAUACUCGUAAAAUGAAAUUAAGUUUUUAUAAGUAGGCUACUAGUACUUUUUGUUUAAAGCUGUUGGUGACAUUCAUAAAGUAAUAGCUCAUGUGUAGUAUUUCAUAUUAGUAACAAUAAAUUAUAAUUUCAGUACCCAUCA